rnacentral:lncRNA from 1 species
GGCCAAGAACGGAAAGUAUCCUUCCAUAGAUCCAAAGAAAAGUUCUCGACUCUAAAAGGGAUCCUGUUGGUUUCUGCGUUAAUGAGGUCGGUUGGAUCUGGAUCCCCUAACGGGCCAAGGCAUUGGAGGUGUGGUUGAUCGGUGGGGAUGAAAAUUUUGUUGGACAAAUCCUAAUGGUUUUGAAGGUGAAAGAAAAAAACAAAGAAAGG